AUUGAACGCUGGCGGCAGGCCUAACACAUGCAAGUCGAGCGGCUGAAGGGAGCUUGCUCCUGGAUUCAGCGGCGGACGGGUGAGUGAUGCCUAGGAAUCUGCCAGGCAGUGGGGGAUAACGUCCGGACACGGGCGCUAAUACCGCAUACGUCCAGAGGGAGAAAGUGGGGGAUCUUCGGACCUUACGCCCUCGGACGAGCCUAUGUCGGAUUAGCUAGUUGGUGGGGUAAAGGCCUACCAAGGCGACGAUCCGUAGCUGGUCUGAGAGGAUGAUCAGUCACACUGGAACUGAGACACGGUCCAGACUCCUACGGGAGGCAGCAGUGGGGAAUAUUGGACAAUGGGCGAAAGCCUGAUCCAGCCAUGCCGCGUGUGUGAAGAAGGUCUUCGGAUUGUAAAGCACUUUUAUUUGGAAGGAAGGGCAGUAGGUUAAUACCUUGCUGUUUUGACGGUACCAACAGAAUAAGCACCGGCUAACUUCGUG
rnacentral:rRNA from 1 species